rnacentral:misc_RNA from 1 species
GAAAGCCCUCGUCUCCACCGACUAGGUUUUCCCUCCUCGCCCCCGUCGCCGAUCGCCAUGGAUUCCCAGCCUAACCUCGGCGCCGCCCACUCCAUGGGCACCACAAUCAUCGGCGUCACCUACGACGGUGGCGUCGUCCUCGGCGCCGAUUCCCGCACCAGCACAGGGAUGUAUGUUGCGAAUCGGGCGUCGGACAAGAUCACACAGCUCACGGAUAAUGUUUAUGUUUGUCGAUCUGGAUCGGCUGCUGAUUCCCAACUCGUCUCUGAUUAUGUCCGAUACUUCCUUCAUCAACACACAAUUCAACUUGCUCAGCCUGCAACUGUCAAAGUCGCGGCUAAUUUAGUUAGGUUGCUGGCAUACCAGAACAAGAG